rnacentral:rRNA from 1 species
UACAGAGGUCCCAAGCGUUGUUCGGAAUUACUGGGCGUAAAGGGCUCGUAGGUGGCCAACUAAGUCAGACGUGAAAUCCCUCAGCUUAACUGGGGAACUGCGUCUGAUACUGGAUGGCUUGAGUUUGGGAGAGGGAUGCGGAAUUCCAGGUGUAGCGGUGAAAUGCGUAGAUAUCUGGAGGAACACCGGUGGCGAAGGCGGCAUCCUGGACCAACACUGACACUGAGGAGCGAAAGCCAGGGGAGCAAACGGG